UACGAGGGGGGCGAGCGUUGUUCGGAAUUAUUGGGCGUAAAGGGUGCGUAGGCGGUUCCGCAAGUCCUGUGUGAAAUCUUCGGGCUCAACUCGAAGUCUGCACGGGAAACUGCGGGGCUUGAGUGUGGGAGAGGUGAGUGGAAUUCCGGGUGUAGCGGUGGAAUGCGUAGAUACCAUAAAGAACACCGAUUGCGAAGGCAGCUUACUAAGCUGUAACUGACGCUGAGGCACGAAAGCGUGGGGAGCGAACAGGG
rnacentral:rRNA from 1 species